CAGUUUCUAUCCUCUUUUUGAAAUGAGCUAAUUUUGUACGAAAGGACUUUUUCGCUAAAGCAAUGCUUUGUCACAAAUCUGUGGUUGCAUAAAUAAUAGUGUAUAAUAGGUUGAUUAGCCUAUAGGAAGGGUUA
rnacentral:rRNA from 1 species